GCUGGAAUAAGUAGCGAUAAGAUGAGUGAGAAUCUCAUCCGCCGAAAACCUAAGGUUUCCUGGGGAAGGCAAUUCCGCCCAGGGUUAGUCGGCCCCUAAGGCGAGGCCGAAAGGCGUAGUCGAUGGACAGCAGGUUAAUAUUCCUGCACCGCUCAUGAUGGGUUGAUGAUGGGGUGACGGAGGCUCGAUUGCCUACGGGCGACUGAUUGUGCCCGGUGGCUGGGGGAGGACCGCCGCAGGUAAAUCCGCGGCAUACGGUUCGAACUCGGCGACGAAUUCCUUUUUGAGAAGAAGUGGCUUGAAGGCUUCCCAAGAAAAACCUCGGUUCGUACUUUCAUGAGCGACCGUACUAAAACUGACACAGGUAGGUGGGGUGAGUAUCCUAAGGCGCUCGGGGGAACUGUGGUAAAGGAACUCGGCAAAAUGGCCCCGUAACUUCGGGAUAAGGGGCGCCCCUUGGAGAAGGCUUCGCAAGAAGAACCGGGGGGCUGCAGGAAUCGGUUGUUACGACUGUUUACUAAAAACACAGGUCUCUGCCAAGUCCACAAAGACGACGUAUAGAGACUGACGCUUGCUCGGUGCCGGAAGGUCAAGGUGAGGGGUCAGCCCGCAAGGGCGAAGCUCCGAGCCGAAGCCCGGUUAACGGCGGCCGUAACUAUGACGGUCCUAAGGUAGCGAAGUUCCUUGUCGGGUAAGUUCCGACGCGCAUGAAGCGUAACGUAGCAACGCUGUCUCUACCGCAGACCCGGCGAAAUUGUAGUAGCGGUGAAGAUGCCGCUUACCCGCAGUUAGACGGAAAGACCCCGUGAACCUUCACUGUAGCCUAUUAUUGAGUUUGGGUGUGGCAUGUGUAGGAUAGGUGGGAGGCAUUGAAGCUGGGACGCCAGUCUCAGCAGAGCCGCCGGUGAAAUACCACCCUUGUUGCAUCUAAAUUCUAACUCGAUUCCUUGAACCAGGGUCCAGGACAGUGAUAGGUGGGCAGUUUGGCUGGGGCGGCUUCCUCCUAAAGAGUAACGGAGGAGCCCAAAGGCACCUUCAGCGCGGUUGGCAAUCGCGCGGAGAGCGUAAGGGUAUAAGGGUGCCUGACUGUGAGACCAAUAAGUCGAGCAGAGGUGAAAGCCGGGCCUAAUGAUCCGGCGUUACCGGGUGGAAGGGACGUCGCUCAUCAGAUAAAAGGUACUCCGGAGAUAACAGGCUGAUCUCUCCCAAGAGUCCAUAUCGACGGGGAGGUUUGGCACCUCGAUGUCGGCUCAUCACAUCCUGGGGCUGUAGGAGGUCCCAAGGGUUCGGCUGUUCGCCGAUUAAAGUGGUACGCGAGCUGGGUUUAGACCGGCGUGAGCCAGGUCGGUCCCUAUCUACUGUGGGUGCAGGAGACUUGCGGGGAGCUGUCCCUAGUACGAGAGGAUCGGGAUGGACGGACCUCUGGUGUACCUGUUGUCUCGUCAGAGGCACCGCAGGGUAGCUAUGUCCGGAAGGGAUAAGCGCUGAAAGCAUAUAAGUGCGAAGCCCCCCCCAAAACGAGGUCUCCCUGAAGGCACCUCGAAGACGACGAGGUUGAUAGGCCGGAGGUGUAAGCACGGCAACGUGUUCAGCCGACCGGUACUAAUCUGCCGUUCGGCUUGACC
rnacentral:rRNA from 1 species